CCUACGGGGGGCAGCAGUGAGGAAUAUUGGUCAAUGGCCGCAGGGCUGAACCAGCCAAGUCGCGUGAGGGAUGACGGUCCUAUGGAUUGUAAACCUCUUUUGUCAGGGAGCAAAGGGCGCCACGUGUGGCGCUUUGCGAGUACCUGAAGAAAAAGCAUCGGCUAACUCCGUGCCAGCAGCCGCGGUAAUACGGAGGAUGCGAGCGUUAUCCGGAUUUAUUGGGGUUAAAGGGUGCGCAGGCGGAAUGUCAAGUCAGCGGUAAAAUUUCGGGGCUCAACCCCGUCGUGCCGUUGAAACUGGCGUUCUUGAGUGAGCGAGAAGUAUGCGGGAUGCGUGGUGGAGCGGUGAAAUGCAUAGAGAUGACGCAGAACUCCGAUUGCGAAGGCAGCAUACCGGCGCUCAACUGACGCUCAUGCACGAAAGCGUGGGUAUCGAACAGGAUUAGAUACCCCUGUAGUC
rnacentral:rRNA from 1 species